GGGGCCGUAGCUCAACUGGAUAGAGCAUCGGAUUUCUACUCCGAUUGUUGGAGGUUCGAGUCCUCCCGGCCCUG
rnacentral:tRNA from 1 species